rnacentral:rRNA from 1 species
GACGAACGCUGGCGGCGUGCUUAACACAUGCAAGUCGAACGGAAAGGCCCUGCUUUUGUGGGGUGCUCGAGUGGCGAACGGGUGAGUAACACGUGAGUAACCUGCCCUUGACUUUGGGAUAACUUCAGGAAACUGGGGCUAAUACCGGAUAGGAGCUCCUGCUGCAUGGUGGGGGUUGGAAAGUUUCGGCGGUUGGGGAUGGACUCGCGGCUUAUCAGCUUGUUGGUGGGGUAGUGGCUUACCAAGGCUUUGACGGGUGGCCGGCCUGAGAGGGUGACCGGCCACAUUGGGACUGAGAUACGGCCCAGACUCCUACGGGAGGCAGCAGUGGGGAAUAUUGCACAAUGGGCGGAAGCCUGAUGCAGCAACGCCGCGUGCGGGAUGACGGCCUUCGGUUUGUAAACCGCUUUCGCCUGUGACGAAGCGUGAGUGACGGUAAUGGGUAAAGAAGCACCGGCUAACUACGUG